UGAGUCCCACGGAACUCAGUGGUCUGUAUUCUGAAAUGGUGAGUGGCCACUGCCUGAGAUCUUGUGGUUUCUCGGAGUUUUCUGACAACAAUGAAUACACGUCAGAAGUUGCUCGGUCAAGUGAUGAAACCAAGACAAUUUAGUGACAAGUUUGAUGUUCUUUGUUCAAAAGAAAACAGCCCGUGGACGGGAGGAGCACGGUGCCUCACAAGCAGCCGCGGAGGACUCUGCAAUCUUCCUGCGAGGUUUCGAGCAAGAGUGAGUGCAGAGGGGGCAAUGUGGAGAUGGGACAGUUGGCUAGGAGGUUGGGGAUGUCCUUAGAAGGCCAGCAGGUCCUAUUUUCUGGUGGAAGGUAGCGAGCUCAAGCUGAGCUGGAGGCUUGUGAUUGGUGUGAUUGGUGACCGGUGUUUCCCAAGUGCAAGCCGCCUUAGGUUUAGAUUUGUGACUUCGCCGGGGCAGCCUCCAUUUUGUGGGUUCGGAUCCGCAAAUCAGUGCUACCCACCUUAAGGUGGUGUUAGGAGUCACAACCAGGAAUAACACAAUUUUAGACAGUCGAACGCAACAAAUUGUCGGGAAUGCCAGGAGUAGGGGAGUAAGAAAGGACCAGUGGGCUUAGGAUUCAGCGGCUUAGUUAAAUAAUGGUGUUUUAAGUGGUCAUGCAAUGAACACUUUAUCAUGACCGCCAUUUCAGCCUAGACAUUCUCUCUUCCGAUCGUACAACAGAUUGAUGACAUGGUGGCAGGAGGUGAUUGGACAUCGAGGGGACAAUCAGCACCAACAGAGUGGUGAAGUCUUUACUCCGUACUGGGAUGAGCCACCCACGGGGGCUCGCAUUACUCAUAGGCAUUUAUCUCAAACUGCCCAUUCUCUGGUAGCUUUGUGCUUUCACACAUCCUUACUUUGUGAGUUCCUUAUGGACAAGAAUCCUUUCUUCUGUAUAUCUCUCCACUCAAUGCCUGUAACCAUGCCCAACUGCCACGUGGGUUCCACUUGACCGAGGAUUUCAUCGGUCCUUGGGAAACGUAUCAUGGAAUUGUCUUACACAACCAAAAUCACCCAUAAAGAAGGUCCUUUUGAGAUCUUUCUAAUAACCAUAUGCUCUUGGGCAGGUUUCAAAGGCGUAAAUCUUGUACAAUUCUACGUGCGUACGGAUCAGGAUUCUAAGACGUUAAUAAGGAUACACUGUAACCCUGGAGAAGCUGAUUUUCCCAAUUUCAUAAACAAAGAGAACAAAUCUUCCUGACUUUCCCAAAGCCACAUGUUUUAUAAGUGUACGUAAAAGGGAAAAGCCAGCAAACGGCUUGGCUCGCUUUAGACAGGUCACUUACGUAUGUCAGGUCAUUAACCCUUCCUUCCCCUUACAUUUUCUUAAAUUAUUCUCUAUCAUGAAAACAGCUAAGUCUUUAAGUCUUCAGAGGCAUUGCACUUGAAAUACAUUAUUAAGUCUCCAGAGUCAACAGGCGCCAUAAGAUGCUAUCCGCAGUAAUAAUACUCUUCUGGGACCGCCAUAGGUGGCAACCAUGGGUCUUUUCAGCUUGAAGCUUCUAUUUACCAGUUCUGUCCCACUGAAGAGCAAAAUGCCUGCCGAUCAUACUGGUAAAAUGACCUUCCGCUAUUUCAAUUUAUAAGACACAGGUUUUAAUUGUAUUCUACACUAUUUAACUACAUAGCGAAAACAUUAACCAUUUAAAAAUUUUUAUCAAAACAAUAAGUGUUUAUAACUGUAAGUAGAACCGAAAGACUUUCAGUGCAGUAUUUCAGUCCGCUGCCCAGCCCCCAUACGAGGCAACCAGCACCUUCAUUUCCGGCUGCUCUUCUGAGAUUUACCGCUAUUUUCUAAGCAGUGUGCUUAAUAUGCUAUAUACUGAUUUAUGGAUAUUAGACCUGUUGACUUUUUUUCUGCCAUUUGAGGGCUUAGUUCUUAUGUAAUCGCCACCAUUCCUACCAAAACCUACAACCUUCUAACGGAGUCAUAGCUCCUAUUUUGGUGAAAUCAAUAUUGCUUCAUGACAUGAUUUUAAACUACGUACGUAAUCCCUUCUGGACCAAGGUGUGUUCUAUGUUUACAGUUUCUUUCUCUUACAAUUUCUUCUCCCCACCCCCAGUUCCCCCGCCGGGGCCGUGGAGUAAAUAAUGAUUGUGUUUCCCUCUGCUUAGCUUUCUAUGUGUUUAUUGUUCCAUUUUUCCCCUGCUCUACCAACCAAUCUGUCACAUGGCCAGAACUAAUUUUUUCCAACUCCCAGGCACAGCUCUGAACACUCGACCUGUUCCAUUUGUUUCUUGGCGUCCUCACCCUUGCCCUGCUCCCAUCUGGACUGGGUCCGGCCGGCUGCUGCCCGGCGGCCAGCCGGGGCCCUCUGCCUUUCCCCCAGGUCCGAGCUUCUGCUCUCUGGGUCCCAUGUCUUCUUUCCUGCUGCAUGUCCCCAUUUGGCUGAAGUGCAUCUUCUAGUAGCUUCCUGAGAAAGAGAACAGGGGGAAUACACUUUUGUGUCUUUCUGUAGAAAAAAAGCUUUAUACUCGUCUCGUAUGAUGUCUUCAUACAUUCGAUGUGCCAUCCUCUGGCCCUCCUCCUUCCCUUCCCAUUUCUUUGUUCUUAGGAGUUUACGCCUUUUUUUCCCCCUGUCAUUUAAUUGGCAUGUAACACGGGGGCAGAGAUGAAUGCACAUGUUUAGGCUCGUGUUAAGCAGAAGUCUCAUAGUGUGUGUGUAUUUAAUGGACUGCUUAUUUCAAUGCCGGUUCUCACUGAGUAUUUGUGCAGGGUACUGCAUUUUGCAGAGUGAGUCCACCUCUGUGCCAGGCCGGCCCUGUUCGGUUGGCACUGUGGUGCACCCCUGAGAGCGGAUGAAAUGGAGAGUCAUAGAAGUGAAGUGACUUUCCCCAGACCACACAGUUUAAAGGCCAGAGCUGAGGUUCGAAGGCAAAUCUGAAAGACUGCUCCCUUUCUGCCCAGCUGCACCGAUAGCCAAAGCCCCAGAGACAAGGCCCAGCACGGCCCUAUAUGGAUUAGCCCUGGGAGGCGCCGUGGCAGCCGGGGUGACCGAGAUGGGCACUGCGGAAGAGGGGACGAAUGAGGAUGGCAAAGAUAAACGGGCAGUGUAACUCCAGGCAGAGUGAGUCGCCAGGGCAGGUGGCUGGUGCCCGCUGGGGUACAGCAGGUAGCAGCCUGGGGCGAGAUCCAACCGCAGGAAGAAGGGGUUAGAGUCCGAGGCUCCACCCCCGUGACCCUAAGUGACCUUAGGCAACUUACUUCUCUAAGAAUCUGCCUCGCUGCGAAGUGGGGGCCAUAACAGUUUCUUCAAAGCGCUAUUUGAAGGAUUAAAUAAUAUGUUAUAUGUGAAUGUUCAUUGUGUUAACUUUAGAGCACUUAAUAAGUAUAAAAUAUUCUUCUGAUCAGCCUAGAAGGAUCAAUUAUGAUUAUAAAAGGCCUUAAAUUCCAACCUGAUGAAUCUUCUCAUUUUUAUACGCAAAGGAGAAACGGAAAAUACGUCUGACGGGGGAGUGGCAGUGUGGCGGAUAAAGCGAACCUCUGCUAGGUAAGGUCUGGCUUCCGGUGUGGGGUGCGGCGGCCCCUGGUUCUGCAAAGGGCCCCGCGGGGAGGCUGGACGCGCGCAGGCAGCGCACACUCUCCGCUGAGCGUGUUUGUUCUCAGGAGGGAGCCCGGUGGAAAAUUUUGAGCUGCGGUCAGAGACCAUGUGUACGGUCUUGGAAACUGAAGAUGUUCCUUUAAAAGAAAAAUCACAGUGCUUUUUAAACUCAAAUGACAGCAUUGACCAUUAUCUGCUUUUCUCUCUUGCCAGCUCUAGAGUUUUCUUGGGAUGUUAUCAGGGCAAGUAUCAGAACAAUGCCCACUUCUGUUUUGUUUUUAACCUGAAUUACAAAUUACCAAUCGGCAGAUGUAGGCCAAGCAAGGAGGCUUCUUCUGCAUGCUGGACUUUUCAAAAAAUGUAGAGGCUCGGGGGUUGUUGUUGUUCUUUCUGCCCCCCCCCACCCCCCUUUUCCCCAGUGGAGGUACUUUUUGUGUUCUGUUUUUUGAGGGCUCCUGAAGAUUGUUUGAGAACUUGACUGCUGGGGCAGACCAGCACUGAUGUUUUUUGUUGCCAACUGUUAUUUAUUCUGCUGAGAUUUCUAAAAGAAUCAGACAAGCAAAAAAGCUAACCCCUCCAAAACAAACUCCAAAACCAAAACCAAAUACACAGACAAACUCACAACUUUCUUACAGUUGCUUCUGAGGGGCAAGAUUCUUCUGGUCACCAUUAUAUUCUAUGUAAAGCUUCAAGUUUUGAUAGUGUAGUAAAUAUAGCCUGUAUCUAUUUUCGCUGUUGAUGUGUUUUUCCUCUUGAGAGAGGGAAUCGAGUGAAAAUGAACGUGGUUGGGGUCCCCUUACCUAGUGUACUUCUCAGGAGUCUGAUGGGCUAUGCAUCUACUCUUUCCCCACGCUCCCUGAAUGUGGUUCAGCCACUGCCCUUCUCUUUGCUUUCAGAAUAUCUUGCCCCUGACAUAUCAUUGUGCUUAUUGGUGAUUUACGAUCGACUGCUUUCCACUAACCGGUGGGCUUCUUGCGGGCAGCAUCAUGUGCUCCACAGCUUUCUAGCCAAAUGCCGAGCAAGGAUUGGUGCCCUGCGGGAGGCUGGAAUCUAUUUAAAAUGAGGCCAGCAUCAGCGGUACAAAGGCCAUCCUCUAGCAGCCCAGGAAGAAUGUGCUGUGAUCAACAUUCUGGGAAGACGAGACAAGAAUGGAGAAGUCACCCACACCGGGAGCCCCAGGGAGCUUCGGGUCCCACUCCAGCACCAGGAGCUCAUCUAUUACACGGCACGGCAAUCAUAAACCGAUUUUUAUUCUGGGUGGGCGUGU
rnacentral:lncRNA from 1 species